CCUACGGGUGGCAGCAGUGAGGAAUAUUGUUCAAUGGACGAGAGUCUGAACCAGCCAAGUAGCGUGAAGGAUGACUGCCCUAUGGGUUGUAAACUUCUUUUAUAUGGGAAUAAAAUGUUCCACGUGUGGGAUUUUGUAUGUACCAUAUGAAUAAGGAUCGGCUAACUCCGUGCCAGCAGCCGCGGUAAUACGGAGGAUCCGAGCGUUAUCCGGAUUUAUUGGGUUUAAAGGGAGCGUAGGUGGAUUGUUAAGUCAGUUGUGAAAGUUUGCCGCUCAACCGUAAAAUUGCAGUUGAAACUGGCAGUCUUGAGUACAGUAGAGGUGGGCGGAAUUCGUGGUGUAGCGGUGAAAUGCUUAGAUAUCACGAAGAACUCCGAUUGCGAAGGCAGUUCACUGGACUGCAACUGACACUGAGGCUCGAAAGUGUGGGUAUCAAACAGGAUUAGAUACCCCUGUAGUC
rnacentral:rRNA from 1 species